rnacentral:rRNA from 1 species
GACGAACGCUGGCGGCGUGCCUAAUACAUGCAAGUCGAACGCAGUGGGGACGGGUGAGUAACACGUGGGUAACCUCCCAUCAGAGGGGAUAACACUUGGAAACAGGUGCUAAACCGAUACUGAUGGAUGGACCCGCGGUGCAUUAGCUAGUUGGUGAGGUAACGGCUCACCAAGGCCACGAUCCAUAGCCGACCUGGGAGGGUGAUCGGCCACACGGGAACUAGGACACGGCCAAGACUCCUACGGGGGGCAGCAGUAGGGAAUCUUCGGCAAUGGAGGAAAGUCUAACCGAGCAACGCCGCGUAAGUGAAGAAGGUUUUCGGAUCGUAAAACUCUUUUGUUAAGGAAGCGGUAUCUAACCAGAAAGCCACGGCUAACUACGUGCCAGCAGCCGCGGUAAUUC